UGGGGAAUUUUGGACAAUGGGCGAAAGCCUGAUCCAGCAAUGCCGCGUGUGUGAAGAAGGCCUUCGGGUUGUAAAGCACUUUUGUCCGGAAAGAAAUCCUUGGCUCUAAUACAGUCGGGGGAUGACGGUACCGGAAGAAUAAGCACCGGCUAACUACGUGCCAGCAGCCGCGGUAAUACGUAGGGUGCAAGCGUUAAUCGGAAUUACUGGGCGUAAAGCGUGCGCAGGCGGUUUGCUAAGACCGAUGUGAAAUCCCCGGGCUCAACCUGGGAACUGCAUUGGUGACUGGCAGGCUAGAGUAUGGCAGAGGGGGGUAGAAUUCCACGUGUAGCAGUGAAAUGCGUAGAGAUGUGGAGGAAUACCGAUGGCGAAGGCAGCCCCCUGGCAAGUACUGACGCUCAUGCACGAAAGCGUGGGGAGCAAACAGGAUUAGAUACCCCUGGUAGUCCACGCCCCUAAACGAUGUCAACUAGUUGUUGGGGAUUCAUUUUCCUUAGUAACGUAGCUAACGCGUGAAGUUGACCGCCUGGGGAGUACGGUCGCAAGAUUAAAACUCAAA
rnacentral:rRNA from 1 species